rnacentral:rRNA from 1 species
ACGGGAGGCAGCAGUCGGGAGUAUUGCGCAAUGGAGGAAACUCUGACGCAGUGACGCCGCGUAUAGGAAGAAGGUUUUCGGAUUGUAAACUAUUUUAGACAGGGAAGAUACAAGGCAGUACCUGUAGAAUAAGCUCCGGCUAACUACGUGCCAGCAGCCGCGGUAAUACGUAGGGAGCAAGCGUUAUCCGGAUUUAUUGGGUGUAAAGGGUGCGUAGACGGGAAUUUAAGUUAGUUGUGAAAUCCCUCGGCUCAACUGAGGAACUGCAACUAAAACUGGAUUCCAUGAGUGCGGGAGAGGAAAGCGGAAUUCCUAGUGUAGCGGUGAAAUGCGUAGAUAUUAGGAGGAACACCAGUGGCGAAGGCGGCUUUCUGGACCGUAACUGACGUUGAAGCACGAAAGUGUGGGGAGCAAACAGGAUUAGAUACCCUGGUA